AUAUUUCUGGUAAUUUCUGACAAGACCCGACUGGCAACACUGCAAAUAAUCACUAGUGGUCAUACGCCAACGUCACUCGCCCGAAGCCAUAAAAAAGAAAACAAAAACUUCCGGUUCCGGAAGAAAAAACAGCCAAGUGUUUUGCACUUUUGCAGCAUACUCUCUAUUUCUCUAAUCUGUGUUUUGCAGUGCACAAAAUCAGUGGUAGAACGUAGAACCUACAAGUUUUUUUGUUUUGCACGGUGUUUUAUUUAAUAAACGCUUCUGUUGUGCGAAUUGGACGCGUGACGUGCUGAAGAUUAAAGACUUUGCAUAAUGGAAUCAAAAAAAUUUUUUUUGGUUACAUUUUUAGAUGAAGAUGAUGCUCCUGGCAUAGUUUCAUCAAAGUGGUUAAGAUACCAACACUUGUUAUUACCCUAAUGUAUGCACUGAAGAAAUCAAAAACAAACUUGAAGAAGAUGCCUGCACCUGAAGCAACAUGGUCACAAUAUCAAAUAAAAAUACUUAAAAGUUAUGAAACUUAUGGCGAAGCACGAUUACAUUUAAAAAAAGCGGAAGAAACCUGAAAUUUGGACUCAGACGAAGCAGAAAAUGAUGUUACAAAUGAAGUGACAGUGGACAUAAUGUCUGCUGUAAAUUACCCAGUCACCUCCGGUUCUAAAGAGGCCAAGCAAACACAACUCAAAGCUGUUAACUGCCAAUCAGAGUGCAUUACAAACAAGCAAUAUGCUAUACAGCAGAGUCAUAUGAUUCAGAUUGUGUCAGACCUAGCUAACCAAAUGGCUGAAAUCAAUAGAAAAUUGGAUUUACCGUUAGCUAGGUCCGAAGAAACAUUUUCACCAACAGAUGACAAUGCAGGUCUUUCAGAACUUUUGGCAAGUCUACCAGUAAAGAUAUUGCAAGUUUUAAUAAUUUCGAUGACCAGUUAAAAAUAAACAAGAAUACAGGCAAUAAUGUCAUUUUUGUCUGGUAUUGGCGGCAGAAAUGUAAGAAGCCUUACGACUAAUAUGUUGAGACGAAUAAUUCUAGAUGAUGUAGCCGAGUUGUAUUCGUUAACUGGGAAACAGAUGAAAAAUUCGAAUAAAAAGUCAUUUAUGAGUACAGAAACCUAUAAAUUAAUCUUUCAAAUAUGUAGAAAAAUCAACGAAGAUGUAACUGAAGACAGUCUAAAAGAAAUUAUAAGUGAUUGGCUAAAUCAAGCUAAAGUUAGCUUUCAAGAAGAGCAGAAACACAAAAUAAAGAAAAAAACCAAUAGCGGCGACCAUGAAACCGAUUUUUUCUCAUUUAAAGUAAGAUAAGAUAAAAGUAUAAAUAAUAAAAAAAUAUAUGUUA